rnacentral:sRNA from 1 species
UUACUUGUAGGGUCCCAUAGACGAUAUC